CCUGAAAUGAUGCCAAACUUUAUAUGGAACUUAGAUACCUCAUUUAGUGCAACAGUUCUCCUGUUUUCACGAGUGGAACAUUGAUGUUAAAGAUGAGUGCUGUUCCACAUGCUACACAUAGCAUGUAUUGCCAACGCUCUGAUAUUUCUGAAUUUAAAGCACAUGAAGUCCAUGAUGUUUCCGAUAUGGAAUUGUGGACUUAUAUUAUGGCUUCUGUGGAGGAAUGUCUUGUAAUUUGUGAGACAAAUUACGUUUGUGCAUACGCCCACUUACAAAUUAAUGUAAAUGUUUCUCCUACCGUUUCACAGAACGUCAGGGACAAUGUCUUUUGCACAUUCUCCUAUCGUGAGAUUACAGAUAGUUUCUCCAACCAGUGCUUCAGGCUCAUUGUUCCUACUCCAUAAUUGGUGCACUCAAGUAUCACAGGAGGGACGCAAAGGCAGAACAACACGCAGAGCUCAUUACAGGAUAUUGUGAUGUAUCUUCAAUUCUCUUUCAAUAAAUCCUUUGGACUGCAUGAA
rnacentral:lncRNA from 1 species